rnacentral:rRNA from 1 species
UGGCUAACUCCUACGGGAGGCAGCAGUGGGGAAUUUUGGACAAUGGGGGCAACCCUGAUCCAGCAAUGCCGCGUGAGUGAAGAAGGCCUUCGGGUUGUAAAGCUCUUUUGUCAGGGAAGAAACGGUAGUAGCUAAUAUCUAUUACUAAUGACGGUACCUGAGGAAUAAGCACCGGCUAACUACGUGCCAGCAGCCGCGGUAAUACGUAGGGUGCAAGCGUUAAUCGGAAUUACUGUGCGUAAAGCGUGCGCAGGCGGUUGUGUAAGUCAGAUGUGAAAUCCCCGGGCUCAACCUGGGAAUUGCAUUUGAGACUGCACGGCUAGAGUGUGGCAGAGGGGGGUAGCAUUCCACGUGUAGCGGUGAAAUGCGUAGAUAUGUGGGGCAAUACCGAUGGAGAAGGCAGCCCCCUGGGAUAACACUGACGCUCAUGCACGAAAGCGUGGGGAGCAAACAGGAUUAGAAACCCGGGUAGUCCAGCUGG